AACAUGGGCCAUGAGCAUCACCAUGGCCUUAGGCACAGGGCAUGUACAUCAGCAUGGUCUCUAGCAUCAACAUGGCCCACAGAAUCAACAUGGUCUCCAGUGUGACUACAGACCAUGGACACCUUCAUGGCCCUCAGUGGCAGUACAGGUCAUGGACAUCAACAUGGUCUCCAGCAGCAACAAGGCCCCUGACAUCAGCACAGCUUCAGAACAAAAGUCCAGACCUAAUUUACUUGAUGAAGAUCACAAAGCAAUUUUGCUACUCUCCAGUGGCCAAGUACAUUCUUCUACAAUUUUAUGAAAUAAAAUAAAAAUAUAUU
rnacentral:lncRNA from 1 species